rnacentral:rRNA from 1 species
ACGAUCAGUAGCCGACCUGAGAGGGUGACCGGCCACAUUGGAACUGAGACACGGUCCAAACUCCUACGGGAGGCAGCAGUGGGGAAUAUUGCACAAUGGGCGAAAGCCUGAUGCAGCAACGCCGCGUGAGUGAUGAAGGCCUUCGGGUCGUAAAACUCUGUCCUCAAGGAAGAUAAUGACGGUACUUGAGGAGGAAGCCCCGGCUAACUACGUGCCAGCAGCCGCGGUAAUACGUAGGGGGCUAGCGUUAUCCGGAUUUACUGGGCGUAAAGGGUGCGUAGGCGGUCUUUCAAGUCAGGAGUGAAAGGCUACGGCUCAACCGUAGUAAGCUCUUGAAACUGGGAGACUUGAGUGCAGGAGAGGAGAGUGGAAUUCCUAGUGUAGCGGUGAAAUGCGUAGAUAUUAGGAGGAACACCAGUUGCGAAGGCGGCUCUCUGGACUGUAACUGACGCUGAGGCACGAAAGCGUGGGGAGCAAACAGGAUUAGAUACCCUGGUAGUCCACGCUGUAAACGAUGAGUACUAGGUGUCGGGGGUUACCCCCUUCG